UCUGGCGAAGCUUGUUACAACAGCCGAGGGGGCAAACAACAUCUUUAUUGAAUUUCAUGCCAGCGAAUUAGGUGGACACUGCAGGUGGGAAAGAACCCAUUGUGCCAUUGCCAGCCGCUCUUACUGGCCGGGUAUGGAAAGGGACAUCCAACAAUGGGUUGCUCAGUGUCCUCAGUGCCAAAAGAAAAGGGCAAUGAUUAAGGAAAAGUCUGAAUACAGCCCCAUAGAGGUGACGAGCCACUGGAACUGGUGCAUAUGGAUCUAGUGGGUAAACUCACAGUAACAAAUGGUGGUAAUCAGUACAUUUGUGUAAUCAUUGAUUAUUUCACGAAAUGGGCAGAGGCCUACCCACAAAAAACAAAAUCAGCAGCUGAGGUCACCAGUUGUAUACUUGAUUUUUUUUUACAAAUUUGGUGCACCUCAAAGGCUGCUUAA